GGUUAGGGUUGGAGUUAGGGUUAGUGUUGGAGCUAGGGUUAGGGUUGGGCUUGGAGCUAGGAUUUUUCUGAGUGCACUGAACCAACUCCCGAGUCUCUAGGACAUUCCUAAAAAAAUUUGAUUUUUUCCCAUAGGAAUGCAUGGGUUAGGGUUAUAGGUUAGGGUUAGGGUUGGAGCUAGGGUUAGGGUUAGGGUUAGGGUUGGAGUUAGGGUUAGUGUUGGAGCUAGGGUUAGGGUUGGGCUUGGAGCUAAGAUUUUUCUGAGUGCAAUGAACCAACUCCCGAGUCUCUAGGACGUUCCUAAAAAAAUUUGAUUUUUUCCCAUAGGAAUGCAUGGGUUAGGGUUAGGGUUAGGGUUGGAGCUAGGGUUAGGGUUGGAGCUAGGGUUAGGGUUAGGGUUGGAGUUAGGGUUAGUGUUGGAGCUAGGGUUAGGGUUGGGCUUGGAGCUAGGAUUUUUCUGAGUGCACUGAACCAACUCCCGAGUCUCUAGGACAUUCCUA